rnacentral:lncRNA from 1 species
AGCUCAACAAGCAUGGAUGGAAAGAUGACUAAGAUAAUUAGUGACUGACAGUAGCUCUGACCAUGGGGCCAGGCCAAGAGUGAGUGGCAGCGGCUGGAGUGUGGCUGGAGAAGCUGUGAGUCAGCCAGAAAGUGUGAGCGCAGGGCCUGUACCAGGCCUGGAGACCUCAGACCAGACAGGAGGGAGCCCAGAGCAGACCCAUCAGAGUCAGAGGCAAGGGACAGAAAGAGCAAGUGAUGGCUCCUGCCUCAUAACCAUGGAAACGGCUCCAAACGGAGGCCACCUCUACC